CUGCAGCUCCCUCUGGCCGGGGUGAGGGUCUGAGUCAGCCCAACUCAGGUAAAUGGAGGAGGCUGUGGAACUUUCCCAUCUGCACCCUGGAAAUCUGCAUGAGCAGGGCAGGGCCACCUCCCAUGGCAAGCGGGCAAGCAGAGGCCUCUGUGCCAGCUUGAGCACUGUCUGCCUCUGUGACUGACCUCAGGCCUCAAAGUCCAGAGAGAGGCCUGGGAGCCUCUGCUCUCUGCCUGAGAUGUGGGGCAGGGCUCAGGACCCAGCCAAGGGCUGUUCCUAGGGCAGGAAGAGAUCUUGGAGUCCAGCAAGAUCCGGCAAGACAGGAAAAGCAUCCCUGAACAAGGGAUAUUUGAACCGAGGCCUGAAGGAGGUGGGAAGUUAUUUUAGAAACAAUGAUCACAAAACAACACGAUGAAAUGCUAACUGGAUUCCGUGGCCUGUUGAGGGCUCUGGGCUGAGGUCUGCUCUGCUUCAUGAAGGGAGAUGAGCAAGCUCUGGAGACGUGUUACGGCUGCCAGCACCAAGGGAAGCUUUCUCUGUGGGUUCAUCAAAAGACUCAAAGAGAACUGCAGAGGGAGCGAUGUCCUCCUCAGGGCCACCUGUUGUCUAGGUCAUCUUGUGUUGGGAGCUUCUGAGGCAUGAUCAGGAGGACAGAAAGGGAGCUGAAAUGUCUCUUCCACGGUGAGUUGGUGGAAUUCCACACCGGCUGCCUGAAUCCUCCAUAGCUAUCUCCAGCCCCUCCCAUGACCCACAGUUCCUGAUGUCCCAGGAACAAGUUCUAACAGGCCAGCUCCGAGGAUAAGUGGGAUGUCCCGAGUGUGGGCAGCUGGCAGGACACAAAUCUGGGUGGACCCAGUGAGCAGCAUUCAACAUCAGGCUGGGCACAGAAGCCAGACGGUGAUCAGGAGAGGGACAUGUGGUCCCACCCUGAAGGAGUCCAGAGAACCAUUAGCCUGACACACGGACUGAUGGGCUCAACUUGGCUUUAGGUGCCUCUUGAGAAGGGAGAGCUCACGUACUCAUUCUUUCACGCACUCAUCAAAUGUUUGAGUACCCACGGUGGGCUGGGCCCUGUGCCAAGCACUGGAGGGACAGAGAAGGCCAGACCCAAAUCCCUCGUGACCUGAUGCUCUAAUGGGGGGAUACAGACAACGCACAAGUGAACAUACAAAUAAAUUCUGAAAUGAGAGUCUUCAAUGCUCUAAAGAAAACAAGCAGAAUGUUGGGAUGAAAAGUAGAAGGAAAGGAGGCUUUUGAUAGUGUGGCCUGAGAGGGCCUCUGAGGAGGGCUCAUUUAAGCUCAUAACUGAAGGUGGAGAAGUAGCCAGUCACACAAAGAGAUAGAGAAGGAGGGUCCCAGACAGAGGGAGGUGCAUGGGCAGAGGCCGGAAGGCAGGAAGGAGCAUGGGUGCUGGUGUGGAAGAGCAGGAGCAAGGCUGGUGGGAGGCCGAGGAAGUGGCCAGCAGGGCCAGGCCAGAGCAAGGAGAUGCCUGGCAAGUGUUUGCACAGUCAGUGAGCCACUCAGGGAAGGUAGGGUGGGUGCUGGGUGGGGAGCAAAGGGGAGCUGAAGGUGUUUGCUUGAGGCUUUUUCUCCUGGUGUCUUUGUCAGAGGGGAGUUCAAGGGGGAUGAUCUUGGUUUUCCUGGGGCCAGCCCAGACUGCAGCAGGGAAGGGCUUUGGGCCACUUACUAGGGGGGGACCUGGCUAAUUUCAGUCAAUCAAACCAGCAAACUUGUGUUUGGCAUCUCAUAACAGUGUCUGUUUUGUGAAGUGCUGUUUAUGAGCAACUAUAUACCAGGCUCGGGGCAACCCGACCAGAAGCUGCAGACACACCCCCUUCCCAGGAAGACUCGCAGAUCAGAAAGUUGCAAUGCCGUAGGGUGAGUGUUCCAGGGAAGGGCUGGACAGAGGAAGGGGUCAUUCAAGUUGGCUUGUGAAGGAUGAAGAGAAGCUCACUGGAGAGAAGCCAUCACCAGAAGGGCAGCAAUUGUUUCUCUUGUUCGUUGCUGUCACAGCACCUAAGACAGAGCCUGACGCUUGGUGGGUGCUCAGUCAGUAUGUAUUGAUGGAAUGAAUCAGAGCUGCCCCCACUUUGGUUAUUCCAAUAACUGCUUUCAUGAUUUUUGUGCAGUCUACUUUCCAAUUCUAUUACUUUUUUUUUCAAGUUGACUUACCCUUUCAUUGAAAUAAAUUUAUCAUAAAAGGAAACAUUUCAUAUUAUCCCUAGAUUUGAAAAAAAGCCAAGGACACUGGCCACAAAUCAAAGAUAACCAGAAAAAAUUAUCACAAUGGAAACAAAACAAUGUUAUUAAACUCUACCUGUUAAGAGAACAAAAAGGCCACAGACUGGGAGAAAAUAUUUGCAAAUCACGUAUCUGACAAAGGACUGACUUGUAUCCAGAAUAUAUAAAGAACCCUCCAAACCCAUUACUAAGAAAACAAUCCAGUUUUUAAAUGGACAAAGAGUUUGAGCAGACACUACACCAAAGAAAAUAUACAGAUGGCAAAUAAGCACAUAAAAUGAUGUUCAAUGAUAGUCAUUAGGGAAAUUCAAGUUAAUGCCACAGUGAUAUAUACCUACUAGAAUGGCUAAAAAAAAAUUUUUUUUAACUGAUAAUACCAAGUGUCAAGGAUGGGAAGCAACUGAAACUUUCAUGCAUUGCUGGUGGGAAUGCAAAAUGGUACAGGCACCUUGGGAAACAGUUCUGCAGUUUCUGAUUUAGUUAAACCUACACUUAUCAUAUGACCCAGCAAUUCUAAUCCUAGAAAUUUCCCCAAAAUAAAUAAAAACAUAUGUUCACACAGAAACCUAUUUGCAAAUGUUAAUUAUGGUUUUAUUUACAAUCACUAAAAAUUGGAAACAGCCCAAAUAUCCCUCAACUGGUGAAUGGGUAAACAAGCUAUGAAUGGUAUAUUACUUAGCAAUAACAAGGCACAACUUACUGGUAACACACAAUGCAAUGAAGUGAUCUCAGGCAUUAUGCUCAGUGAGAAAAAGCCACUUAUCUGACAUUCUGGAAAAGGUACAUUUAUAGGAACAAAAACCAUGAGAGAGGGGCCCUAGGGGUGGUGACCUGUCCAAUCAUUGAGGCCCUAAGGCUGUGAAAAUUCAAGCUGCACAUUUCUUUUUCGUAUCCUAGAGCUCUUAAAAAGCCUAGCUUGAUACAAUUGUCUGUCAAAGGUGUGGAGCCUGAGAUCGUCUCUUUUUCACAAAGGGAGAUUAAUAAGUAUUCAGUGUUAGAGCAGGUCAGCACCAGAGACCCUCCUUGAUAUACAGAAAGGACUAUAAAAGACUUGCAUAGAGAAUAGCUCUCACUACGUGACCCGAGGUGAUUUGAUGCU